rnacentral:rRNA from 1 species
ACCAGACUCCUACGGGAGGCAGCAGUGGGGAAUAUUGCACAAUGGGGGAAACCCUGAUGCAGCGACGCCGCGUGAGCGAUGAAGUAUUUCGGUGUGUAAAGCUCUAUCAGCAGGGAAGAAAAUGACGGUACCUGACUAAGAAGCCCCGGCUAACUACGUGCCAGCAGCCGCGGUAAUACGUAGGGGGCGAGCGCUAUCCGGAAUUACUGGGUGUAAAGGGAGCGUAGACGGCGAAGUAAGCCUGAAGUGGAAGCCCGCGGCCCAACCGCGGAACUGCUUUGGGAACUGUUUAGCUGGAGUAUGGGAGGGGUAAGCGGAAUUCCUGGUGUAGCGGUGAAAUGCGUAGAUAUCAGGAGGAACACCGGUGGCGAAGGCGGCUUACUGGACCAUGACUGACGUUGAGGCUCGAAGGCGUGGGGAGCAAACAGGAUUAGAUACCCUUGUA